GUGCCCGUUGCUGUAAAACGGUAGUGGAAUUAUGUUUUAUAAGUGCCUAGAGAAAAUGUGCACCUUGUCGUGUGCAUUAACCAUCGCAAAACCUUCCGGACUCGUGUAACGACAUUAGUUCGCCGUGUGUUUCGUGCGAUCCACCAGUGUCGGUAGUGAGUGUCCUACUGCAGCCCCCGUCCGAGCUUCCUUUGUUCUGCCGAACUGGCCGCCCGCGCUCUCGUGAAAAGUCUGGUACUGGAGCUUCGAAUCAUGGUGCAUGGAAGACUUUGUUGAAGAUGGUGAUUUUGCGGAGCUGGAGUUCAUGGCAAGUUCUACAGUGCUUGCGCCAGAAAAACGUCGGUGCCGCGGUACGUGAGGAGCGUUUGCUGACUACGUCUUGAAAAGGCUAUGCGGAUUCUGGAGGCAUCCCUACACCCCGCAGGAACCUGCUGCACUGCUGAAAGCUGGGAAGCACAACGAUAAAGCACCUGAUCUGCAUGCUUUCACAAAGACCCCUCAAGGAUGGUAAGGAGGUUGAAACACAUCCUUGAUAAAACAAGUGGUGCCGGUGGUGCCGAGCCCGUCGCAGUCAUGUCAGCACCAAAAGCUACACAGCAAGGCACUUCGACACUGCGGAGAUCGAAAACAUGUCAUCGAUGCUUGCGCGCCGGUUUUGAAAUGUGCUAAAUAAAAGGUAGUUGUC